CGCGUAGGCGGUCUCGUAAGUCAGAUGUGAAAGCCCGGGGCUCAACCCCGGAAGUGCAUUUGAAACUACGAGACUUGAGUAUGGGAGAGGGAAGUGGAAUUCCUGGUGUAGAGGUGAAAUUCGUAGAUAUCAGGAGGAACACCGGUGGCGAAGGCGACUUCCUGGACCAAUACUGACGCUGAGGCGCGAAGGCGUGGGGAGCAAACA
rnacentral:rRNA from 1 species